GAGGGGCGCACGUCCCCAGAGCCUGAGCCCAACACUCAGCUCUGCGGACUCACACUCAGUGCUGUCCUAAGAGGCGGCUUAAAUGACUGUGGAGAUUCCAGAAUCAGGAGCUAGGUUAUCUGAGCUCAAGGCCCAGCCUCUGUGAAAAGGAGAUAAUGAUCAUACCUGCUUCCUAGAGUCAGAGCCAAGAAUGAGCUAAUAUCGGUAAUGAGACAGGGCCCGGCACACAGUAGGUGCGCCUUUAGCGCGACACCCGGAUUCGCCUUAACCUUCCCCUCAGCCCCACCGCGGCCACACUCCAGCCGUGAUUUCUCCCACGUGCUGAAAACAGGGGCUGCCUCCGGCUCUCUUACCCCUCCUCCGCCCCCAUCGCAUACUCCAGAGCUCUAUAGUGUGACGUCUGUCCUGGAAGAGUUCCAACCUCCCCGCUCCGGGACUUGCUGGCAGUCAGAUCCACUUGUGAUUUGGUUGGAAGGGUCGCUUUUCACCUCUUGUCCUAAGCCGUGAGCGAAAACAGUCACAUACCCUAGAAUUCCGCCUCUGCCUUUCUCCCGUGAUUCUGAGCGCCCGAUGUGAGCGGCUAUGACCCAGUAGCUGAUUCUUGCUAAGCUUGCAAUGAUCUUGCAAAGAUCAAUACUGACAGCCACUCCAUUACUGGACUCACAGUUUAGAAGAGAAAAACCAAACACAGAUAAAACUGAGAUCACCCUCACUCCUUCUCUCCGUCCCUGGAGAAAAAAAGAGUAUGGAUUUCUCCCUAUACUGCUCAACAUGGCAAAAGACCCUGAGUUACUGGAAUUAAUGGGAAGACUGGAGCAGCUCUGGAUAAGACACC